UACGUAGGGUGCAAGCGUUAAUCGGAAUUACUGGGCGUAAAGUGUGCGCAGGCGGCCGAGCAAGUCGAGUGUGAAAUCCCCGGGCUCAACCUGGGAAUUGCGAUGAAGACUGCAAGGCUAGAAUCUGGCAGAGGGGGGUAGAAUUCCACGUGUAGCAGUGAAAUGCGUAGAGAUGUGGAGGAACACCGAUGGCGAAGGCAGCCCCCUGGGUCAAGAUUGACGCUCAUGCACGAAAGCGUGGGGAGCAAACAGG
rnacentral:rRNA from 1 species